AACGAACGCUGGCGGCAGGCCUAACACAUGCAAGUCGAGCGAACCCUUCGGGGUUAGCGGCGGACGGGUUAGUAACGCGUGGGAAUAUACCCUUUGGUACGGAAUAGCCUCGGGAAACUGAGAGUAAUACCGUAUGUGCCCUUCGGGGGAAAGAUUUAUCGCCAAAGGAUUAGCCCGCGUUGGAUUAGAUAGUUGGUGGGGUAAUGGCCUACCAAGUCUACGAUCCAUAGCUGGUUUGAGAGGAUGAUCAGCAACACUGGGACUGAGACACGGCCCAGACUCCUACGGGAGGCAGCAGUGGGGAAUCUUAGACAAUGGGCGCAAGCCUGAUCUAGCCAUGCCGCGUGGACGAUGAAGGCCUUAGGGUUGUAAAGUCCUUUCAGAUGGGAAGAUAAUGACGGUACCAUCAGAAGAAGCCCCGGCUAACUCCGUGCCAGCAGCCGCGGUAAUGUCAC
rnacentral:rRNA from 1 species